rnacentral:rRNA from 1 species
UACUUGGAUAACCGUGGUAAUUCUAGAGCUAAUACAUGCUAAAAAUCCCGACUUCGGAAGGGUUGUAUUUAUUAGAUUAAAAACCAAUGCCCCUCGGGGCUCUCUGGUGAAUCAUGAUAACUAGUCGAAUCGACAGGCCUUGUGCCGGCGAUGGCUCAUUCAAAUUUCUUCCCUAUCAACUUUCGAUGUUUGGGUCUUGUCCAAACAUGGUGGCAACGGGUAACGGAGGGUUAGGGCUCGACCCCGGAGAAGGAGCCUGAGAAACGGCUACUACAUCCAAGGAAGGCAGCAGGCGCGCAAAUUACCCAAUCCCGACACGGGGAGGUAGUGACAAUAAAUACUGAUACAGGGCUCUUUUGGGUCUUGUAAUCGGAAUGAGUACAAUUUAAAUCCCUUAACGRGGRACAAUUGGAGGGCAAGUCUGGUGCCAGCAGCCGCGGUAAUUCCAGCUCCAAUAGCGUAUAUUAAAGUUGUUGUGGUUAAAAAGMUCGUAGUUGAACCUUGGGCCUGGCUGGVCGGUCCG